UUCCUUUUUCCUCAUAAACAGGUCUCACUGUGUCAAAGCCAGACCUGAUUAUGUUUUUGGAGCAAGACAACUGGCUCUGGGAUGUGAAGAGGAAGGAGAACAUAGGCUUCCAUCCAGAAUGCAUCAGAAUUUAG
rnacentral:lncRNA from 1 species